AGCGAACGCUGGCGGCAGGCCUAACACAUGCAAGUCGAACGAACCUUUCGGGGUUAGUGGCGGACGGGUGAGUAACACGUGGGAACGUGCCUUUAGGUUCGGAAUAACUCAGGGAAACUUGUGCUAAUACCGAAUGUGCCCUUCGGGGGAAAGAUUUAUCGCCUUUAGAGCGGCCCGCGUCUGAUUAGCUAGUUGGUUGAGGUAAUGGCUCACCAAGGCGACGAUCAGUAGCUGGUCUGAGAGGAUGAUCAGCCACAUUGGGACUGAGACACGGCCCAAACUCCUACGGGAGGCAGCAGUGGGGAAUCUUGCGCAAUGGGCGAAAGCCUGACGCAGCCAUGCCGCGUGAAUGAUGAAGGUCGUAGGAUUGUAAAAUUCUUUCACCGGGGACGAUAAUGACGGUACCCGGAGAAGAAGCCCCGGCUAACUUCGUG
rnacentral:rRNA from 1 species